rnacentral:rRNA from 1 species
GGAGCAGCCCAGAGCCUGAAUCAGUGUGUGUGUUAGUGGAAGCGUCUGGAAAGGCGCGCGAUACAGGGUGACAGCCCCGUACACAAAAAUGCACAUACUGUGAGCUCGAUGAGUAGGGCGGGACACGUGGUAUCCUGUCUGAAUAUGGGGGGACCAUCCUCCAAGGCUAAAUACUCCUGACUGACCGAUAGUGAACCAGUACCGUGAGGGAAAGGCGAAAAGAACCCCGGCGAGGGGAGUGAAAAAGAACCUGAAACCGUGUACGUACAAGCAGUGGGAGCACGCUUAGGCGUGUGACUGCGUACCUUUUGUAUAAUGGGUCAGCGACUUAUAUUCUGUAGCAAGGUUAACCGAAUAGGGGAGCCGAAGGGAAACCGAGUCUUAACUGGGCGUUAAGUUGCAGGGUAUAGACCCGAAACCCGGUGAUCUAGCCAUGGGCAGGUUGAAGGUUGGGUAACACUAACUGGAGGACCGAACCGACUAAUGUUGAAAAAUUAGCGGAUGACUUGUGGCUGGGGGUGAAAGGCCAAUCAAACCGGGAGAUAGCUGGUUCUCCCCGAAAGCUAUUUAGGUAGCGCCUCGUGAAUUCAUCUCCGGGGGUAGAGCACUGUUUCGGCAAGGGGGUCAUCCCGACUUACCAACCCGAUGCAAACUGCGAAUACCGGAGAAUGUUAUCACGGGAGACACACGGCGGGUGCUAACGUCCGUCGUGAAGAGGGAAACAACCCAGACCGCCAGCUAAGGUCCCAAAGUCAUGGUUAAGUGGGAAACGAUGUGGGAAGGCCCAGACAGCCAGGAUGUUGGCUUAGAAGCAGCCAUCAUUUAAAGAAAGCGUAAUAGCUCACUGGUCGAGUCGGCCUGCGCGGAAGAUGUAACGGGGCUAAACCAUG